rnacentral:lncRNA from 14 species
CCCCCCGGGAGCUGGUGAGGACCAGGGUCACCGUCACCGACCUGGAGCCGUACGUCAACUACACCUUCACGGUUGAAGCCCGCAAUGGGGUGUCCCCAUACAGCCAACACCGCAGUGUGGCCACCGCAACCAUCAGCGUCAACCAGACGGAGCCACCCCGGGUGACGUCGGUGAGCCUGGAUGGACGGACAUCCACCAGCUUGGUCCUCUCCUGGACGGUGCCACCGCGGCAGCAGAGUCGGGUCUGGAAGUACGAGGUCACCUACAGCAAGAAGGUGGAUGAGAACAGUUACUCAGUGCUGCGCUGCGAGGGCACCUCCGUCACCCUCCCCAAGCUGUCCCCUGCCACCACCUACGUGGUGCGGGUGCAGGCGCUCACCUCUGAUGGCCACGGGGCCUACAGCCCCCAGCACGAAUUCGAGACCCUGCCCGAGGGCGCUGAGGCCAUGGCAUCAGCCACCAUCAUCAGCGGCUCCAUCGUUGGUGUUGUCUUUGUCCUCCUGCUCUUGGGUGCUCUCCUCUAUAUCCUGCGACGGUAAGGGGAUAAAAUACCCCAACUCCACA